ensembl:lncRNA
GGAAGAGACUGGGAGAGGCAGGCUGGAAGAGACUGGGAGAGGCAGGCUGGAAGAGACUGGGAGAGGCAGGCUGGGAGAUGAUGGACUGGAAGAGACUGGGAGAGGCAGGCUGGGAGAUGAUGGACUGGAAGAGACUGGGAGAGGCAGGCUGGGAGAUGAUGGACUGGAAGAGACUGGGAGAGGCAGGCUGGAAGAGACUGGGAGAGGCAGGCUGGGAGAUGAUGGACUGGAAGAGACUGGGAGAGGCAGGCUGGGAGAUGAUGGACUGGAAGAGACUGGGAGAGGCAGGCUGGAAGAGACUGGGAGAGGCAGGCUGGAAGAGACUGGGAGAGGCAGGCUGGAAGAGACUGGGAGAGGCAGGCUGGGAGAUGGUGGAC